GCAGUCGAGCGAAUGGAUUGAGAGCUUGCUCUCAAGAAGUUAGCGGCGGACGGGUGAGUAACACGUGGGUAACCUGCCCAUAAGACUGGGAUAACUCCGGGAAACCGGGGCUAAUACCGGAUAACAUUUUGAACUGCAUGGUUCGAAAUUGAAAGGCGGCUUCGGCUGUCACUUAUGGAUGGACCCGCGUCGCAUUAGCUAGUUGGUGAGGUAACGGCUCACCAAGGCAACGAUGCGUAGCCGACCUGAGAGGGUGAUCGGCCACACUGGGACUGAGACACGGCCCAGACUCCUACGGGAGGCAGCAGUAGGGAAUCUUCCGCAAUGGACGAAAGUCUGACGGAGCAACGCCGCGUGAGUGAUGAAGGCUUUCGGGUCGUAAAACUCUGUUGUUAGGGAAGAACAAGUGCUAGUUGAAUAAGCUGGCACCUUGACGGUACCUAACCAGAAAGCCACGGCUAACUACGUGCCAGCAGCCGCGGUAAUACGUAGGUGGCAAGCGUUAUCCGGAAUUAUUGGGCGUAAAGCGCGCGCAGGUGGUUUCUUAAGUCUGAUGUGAAAGCCCACGGCUCAACCGUGGAGGGUCAUUGGAAACUGGGAGACUUGAGUGCAGAAGAGGAAAGUGGAAUUCCAUGUGUAGCGGUGAAAUGCGUAGAGAUAUGGAGGAACACCAGUGGCGAAGGCGACUUUCUGGUCUGUAACUGACACUGAGGCGCGAAAGCGUGGGGAGCAAACA
rnacentral:rRNA from 1 species